AUGUGGCACAAGACCGGCAAUACGGGCAGCAAAAAAGGUUUUGGUGAUGCACACCAACAAGAACUUCGACCAGCAGAGGACCAACUAGGUGAUGCACCAGUACCACCUCGGGGACCUGGAGCAAGAGAAGGAGCGGGAGCUGUUAUACUACCUUGUUGUCCGCAAGUUGGUAUUGUUGUUAACGAUCUUUUGUACCAUAUAACUGGAAUUAACCGAUGCAAGUCGAAGAAGGAUUGGUCGGUGCUGCCGGCUGGCGUCAAGUUUGAUCCCACAGAUCAGGAGCUGAUCGAGCACCUUGAGGCCAAAGUGAGUGCUGACAGCGCGAGAUUUCAGUCUCUCAUCGAUUUGUUCAUACCAACCAUCGACAGCGAGCACGGCAUAUGUUACACCCAACCUGAGAAACUUCCAGGUAUCACACUGAGUGGCCUAAGCAAGCAUUUCUUCCAGCACAAUUCCAGGGCGUUCAAAACGGGCACGUGGAUGGGUCGCAAGAUACGGUCGGAGUGCGGCAUGCACGCGAUGUGGCACAACACCGGCAAUACCUUGCCGGUGAUGGUCAACGGCCGUCAGACGGGCAGCAAAAAGGUUCUGGUGCUGCACACCAACAAGAACUUCGACCAACAGAGGACCAACUGGGUGAUGCACCAGUACCACCUCAGGGACCUGGAGCAAGAGAAGGUGCGGGAGCUGGUCCUCUGCAAGAUUUUCUACCAGACGAACACUAGGGCCAGGAGUAAAAAGAUUAUAAGUCGAGCAAGUUUCAACUGGGCUGUAGACUGCCCAGGCUUGGUUUUGUUUUUAACAGGCCCACCCAUGACGACAACGGGGCACAAAGAUCCAGCAGAUAUCUACUGGCCUCUAGCCUGCCAGUGUUAG
rnacentral:rRNA from 1 species